CAGUGGUUGGAGUCCACUGGCCUAGUGGUCAAUGCAACUGACUCGUGGCCAGCGUGUCAUGAGUUCGAGUCUCAUACCGCUGU